UUGAGCGCUGGCGGCAGGCCUAACACAUGCAAGUCGAGCGGUAGAGAGAAGCUUGCUUCUCUUGAGAGCGGCGGACGGGUGAGUAAUGCCUAGGAAUCUGCCUGGUAGUGGGGGAUAACGUUCGGAAACGGACGCUAAUACCGCAUACGUCCUACGGGAGAAAGCAGGGGACCUUCGGGCCUUGCGCUAUCAGAUGAGCCUAGGUCGGAUUAGCUAGUUGGUGAGGUAAUGGCUCACCAAGGCGACGAUCCGUAACUGGUCUGAGAGGAUGAUCAGUCACACUGGAACUGAGACACGGUCCAGACUCCUACGGGAGGCAGCAGUGGGGAAUAUUGGACAAUGGGCGAAAGCCUGAUCCAGCCAUGCCGCGUGUGUGAAGAAGGUCUUCGGAUUGUAAAGCACUUUAAGUUGGGAGGAAGGGUUGUAGAUUAAUACUCUGCAAUUUUGACGUUACCGACAGAAUAAGCACCGGCUAACUCUGUGCCAGCCGCCGCGGUAA
rnacentral:rRNA from 1 species